rnacentral:tRNA from 1 species
GUCUACGUAGCUCAGCUGGAUAGAGCAUACGCCUUCUAAGCGUACGGUCAGGGGUUCGAGUCCCUUCGUGGACGCCA